CAAAAAAAUGUAUCAAAAAACCUUGGAUUUUGCCAUGUUUGUUUGGUCUCUUCUUGUCUUUCUACCUCCUCUUGAGCUUAAUGUAUCCACGGAAAAUGGUUAAUUUAACUCUCCACCCAGCCAAGAGGAGCCAACAUCUUUUGUAUUCAAGAAUCCUGGACUGUGGACAUGCUAGGCCGCCCCCAGGUAAACGUGUUAAAACGGUAUCUAGAUCAUUCCUGGGGGUUGUGAAUCUCUUGAUGAUAAUACUUCUGGCUGGCGAUGUUGAGGGUAACCCCGGACCUGUUUCAAGUCCUGUGCUACAGUUGCAGCAGCUCCCUGGGCUAACACCAUCACUGCUACCUGGGCUACAGCAGCUCCCAGGGCUAACACCAUCACUGCUAUCUUGGCUACAUCAGCUCCCUGGGCUAACACCAUCACUGCUACCUUGGCUACAUCAGCUCCCUGGGCUAACUGUCACGGUCCUGGGUCUUAUGACCCAGUGUUUUGAGUUUAGUUUAUUUGGAUGUUUAUAUGAUUAAGCUCAUGAGUUUUUCUAGUUUGUUAUUAGAUUCCCCUUGUGUCUUCCAACCCCUGUUAAAGUCUCCCCUGCUCUUCACGUGUUUCAUGUCUGUGUCUUACGUUGUCAAGUUCUGGUUGUCAUGUCUGCGUCUCAUUAGGUUUCCUAUUUUAUUUUGAAGAGAUCUAGUGUUUGUAUAUUAUGGUUUAUGUUUUGAGUCCUUUGUUGUACUGUCUUUGUUAUUCCCUAGGUUUCAAUUAUGGUUAUCAAAAGUUUAGUUCUUAAGUUCUGUCAUAUGGCUUCCCUGUGUGUUCCAUGUUGCCUACUGUGCCUUUCUGUACCAUGUUUCAGGUUCUUAUGUUCUGUCUCCCCAGUUGCUGUUAAGUUACAUGUCUAGAGUUCAGUCAGUGUUUCCUGUUUUACUUUGAAGGUGUCUCGUCCAGCCUGAUUACUCCCAGCUGUGCUCUCCUUCUGUGUCUCAUUCCCUCGUUAUCCCUCUGUGUAUUUAAGCCCUAUGUUUUCUCUUUGUCAGUGUCGUAGUCUCCCUCAUGACUGUGUUUCCCUGUGUGUCAGUUUAUCCAUGUCCCAGAUUAGUUUAGUUUAGUUAUGGUUUUCAUGCCACUCUGCAAUAAAGCAGCUUUUGAGUUUAAGUCCUGCGUGGUGAGUUUUGCGUUUGGGUCCUUCUCCUGCCUGCACACAGCCGAAACAUGACACUAACACCUUCACUGCUACCUCGGUUAGAGCAGCUCCCUGGUCUAACACCAUCACUGCUACCUGGGCUACAGAAGCUCCCUAGGCUACAGCAGCUUCCUAGGCUAACACCAUCACUGCUACCUGGGCUACAGCAGCUUCCUGGGCUAACACCAUCACUGCUACCUGGGCUACAGCAGCUUCCUAGGCUAACACCAUCACUGCUACCUGGGCUACAGCAGCUUCCUGGGCUAACACCAUCACUGCUACCAGGGCUACAACGGCAUCCUGGUCUUACACCAUCACUGCCACCUGGGCUACAGCAGCGUCCUGGACUAACACCAUCACUGCUACUAGGGUUACAGCAGCCUCCUGGACUAACACCAUCACUGCUACCUGGGCUAAAGCAGCUUCCUGGGCUACCAUCACUGCUACCGGGGCUACAGCAGCCUCCUGGACCAACACCAUCACUGCUACCUGGGCUACAGCAGCCUCCUGGACUAACACCAUCACUGCCACCUGGGCUACAGCAGCCUUCUGGACUAACACCAUCACUGCUACCUGGGCUACAGCAGCUUCCUGGGCUAACACCAUCAUUGCAGGUCCCGAUUACAACUAAACCUAGUUCAAGUCCAGUUACCACAAGGUGACAUGGCAGAGGUGUACUUCCCGGUGUGUCGGAUCAUUAUUCUGCUGCAUAAAGCAAGUGCACUUGAACUUCAGGGUCUGAACUGAUGGCCAGACAUUCUUCAUCU